rnacentral:rRNA from 1 species
GACGAACGCUGGCGGCGUGCUUAACACAUGCAAGUCGAACGGAAAGGCCCUGCUUUUGUGGGGUGCUCGAGUGGCGAACGGGUGAGUAACACGUGAGUAACCUGCCCUUGACUUUGGGAUAACUUCAGGAAACUGGGGCUAAUACAGGAUAGGAGCCCCUGCUGCAUGGUGGGGGUUGGAAAGUUUCGGCGGUAGGGGAUGGACUCGCGGCUUAUGAGUUUGUUGGUGGGGUAGUGGCUUACCCAGGCUUUGACGGGUAGCCGGCCUGGGAGGGUGACCGGCGACAUUGGUACUGCGAUACGGCCCAGACUCCAACGGGAGGCAGCAGUGGGGAGUAUUGCACAAUGGGCGGAAGCCUGAUGCGGCAACGCCGCGGGCGGAAUGACGGCCUUCGGGUUGUAAACCGCUUUCGCCUGUGACGAAGCGUGAGUGACGGUAAUGGGUAAAGAAGCACCGGCUAACUACGUG